rnacentral:rRNA from 1 species
GACGAACGCUGGCGGCGUGCCUAAUACAUGCAAGUAGAACGCACAGUUUACACCGUAGCUUGCUACACCAUACACUGUGAGUUGCGAACGGGUGAGUCACGCGUAGGUAACCUGCCUGGUAGCGGGGGAUAACUAUUGGAAACGAUAGCUAAUACCGCAUAAUAUUGAUUAUUGCAUGAUAAUUGAUUGAAAGAUGCUAUUGCAUCACUACCAGAUGGACCUGCGUUGUAUUAGCUAGUAGGUGAGGUAACGGCUCACCUAGGCGACGAUACAUAGCCGACCUGAGAGGGUGAUCGGCCGCACUGGGACUGAGACACGGCCCAGACUCCUACGGGAGGCAGCAGUAGGGAAUCUUCGGCAAUGGACGAAAGUCUGACCGAGCAACGCCGCGUGAGUGAAGAAGGUUUUCGGAUCGUAAAGCUCUGUUGUAAGAGAAGAACGGGUGUGAGAGUGGAAAGUUCACACUGUGACGGUAUCUUACCAGAAAGGGACGGCUAACUACGUG